AAUAUCCAAAUCGAAUCGAAACGAAUAACAAAUCGGAUCAAAUUUCACGGAUAAUUUGCCCAGCUCUAGUUGGCUUAUAUAUACUGAAAAAAUGAAAAGUAACGUAGAUAUAUUUGAGAGAAAUUAAGGAGAAUUUAUAAAUGGCAUUUAAUCUAGUGUUAUGUCUAUUUGUUUAUCUGCUGUUUACUCAAGGUGCACAAGGAAGUAUUGAUGAUUUUGAUUGUGUUGAGAUAUACAAACAACCGGCUUUCCAACAUCCAUUGUUGAAAAAUCACAAGAUUCAGGAAAUAUUCAGUUCAUAUGAGGAUCUUGAAAGAAGCGACAACUAUGAAAAGAAAGAGCAAUGUCCAAAGGGAACGGUUCCAAUCUUUAGACAACAAAAUGGAUCCGAGAGCUUUCAUUUGAACACAUCCGAUCAUUUGGGUCAACAUUUUGCAGUAAUUGAGACCAUGAUAGAUGGAACUAUCUAUUGAGGAGCUGAAGCUGAAAUAAGUAUUCAUUCUCUAAAUUUGCAAGAUAACCAAUAUAGUAAAAGUCAAAUCUGGUUAGAGAAUGGACCUCCAGGUCAACUCAAUAGUAUACACGCUGGUUGGGCGGUGCAUCCAAGAUUGUACGGUGACAGUGUCACACGAUUUACAAUAUAUUGGACAGGAGAUGGCUAUGGUAAAACUGGGUGCUACAACACACAAUGUCCUGGUUUUGUUGUUUUAAGUCGAAAUCACAGAAUUGGAAAUCAGUUCUCGGGAUCAUCUGUCUAUGGAAAAACAACCCGUUAUUUUACACUGCAAAUAUUUCAGGAUAUCUCUAGUGGAAACUGGGUACUUAAACUAGAUAAUGAAGUAAUUGGUUACUGGCCCAAAGAGCUGUUUACAGAGUUAAACGAAGGAGCUUCUCUAGUGAGAUAUGGAGGAAAUACAUUUAUGUCCACAGAUGAAAUGAGUCCUCCAAUGGGGAAUGGGCACUUUCCAGUAGCAGAAUUUUUAGAGACAGCAUAUUUUAAAAAUGUCUUGAUUAUAGACUCCAACUAUAUAAGAGUUUAUAUUCAAUAUAGAAAACUAAGAUGUUAUGCUGAUGUCUAUUAUUGCUUUGAGGUUACAUAUUGGGGUUAUGGCAGAACUACUGGAGAUUCUUUCUCGUUUGGAGGACCAGGUGGCAAAUGUGGUGUUUGAUGAGUUCUAUGUAUAUGUACCAACCAAACUUUGUAAACUUCUUAAAAGAUAAAUAAUAAAGUCAUUCAAAAUA